UACGUAGGGUGCGAGCGUUGCCCGGAUUUAUUGGGCGUAAAGGGCGCGUAGGCGGUGAGAUGCGUCCGUUGUGAAAUCGCCCGGCUCAACUGGGCGGGGUCAGCGGAUACGGUCUCACUUGAGCAAGCUAGGGGGCAAUGGAAUUCCCGGUGUAGUGGUGGAAUGCGUAGAUAUCGGGAGGAACACCAGUGGCGAAGGCGGUUGCCUGGGGCUUUGCUGACGCUGAGGCGCGAAAGCGGUGGGGAGCGAUCCGG
rnacentral:rRNA from 1 species